UGCAAACAGAGGUCCGCUGCAGUUUCUGUGGUGAUAAUAGAAUAGUUUACUCUGAUAUUUACAUUAUAUAACCAAGAGUGAUGCAGUGUAAAAAUCUAACAGGUUAAUGCAACGAGACUACCGAGAACAGCAAGGUCAUGCAAUGCCCCAAAACUGCACUGAGAGGAAGAGCAGAAGGCUGAAAGUGGCCAAGAUGACAAAACGGAGAGACAUUAGUGGUGCGAGGGUGGCCCUGUGAGAUCAACCAUCCCGUGAUGCCAUGGGAAUGUGGCAGGCCACCACGCAGGCACAAAAAUGGAAGAAAAAGGAAGAUUUAAAGCAUGACCAUGCAAACAACGGAGAAAGCUAACUCAACGCAGUUGGAGAAUUGCAGGAUAAGGGAACUUCUACAGACUAAAGGAACAAAUGCAGACAAUGCACGAAAUAACAAGGGGACGGAAGGACACCGUAAAGAGAACAACUGCUCUGCAAAGCAAACAUGCACCCAGGCAGGCAAAAAAAUCCACCUUACACAGUACCUUAGACAAAAUGUUUUAAGUUGGUACAAAAAUAUUUCUCACGAGUUUUAGAGAGAACUUUCUGUGAUUUGCAUGUCCUGACUGUACAUAUGUUGGUUUUCUCUUAAUAGAGUAAACAGCUGAGAAGCAUACAUGUUUAUCCAUUUACCUGAUCAUCCUGAACUCAGAUUAGAAGUGAGUGUGAGCGUACAUAUCUAUGUGUUGGAUAAGUGAUGGAACUCUGACGUGGCUGAGGUUUACCCUCACCUUUUUACCACUGAAUGGGUUUAGUCACAGUCUGGAUAAGAUAUGAGUUUCAGUUGUCCCUUGUUUUUUUGGAGGCAGUUUAAAAGCUAAAUUGAGGCACUCCAGUCCGCCCCUCUCUUCCAUGGUGUUUAUCUCUUUAGAGACUGCACAGCUUUGAUUACUGGAUAAAGUUAAGGUAAUCACCCUUGAAACUUCUUUUCACGAUAUCGCUAUAUGACAGAGCUACUGCUCACUUCCACUCUUAAAGUUUUGUUUUCUUCCCCUAAACUUUCAUUUCCUUUAUUUGAUCUUCAUUCAGGGUUAAAGUACUGUUCCCUCUUUUAGGCAACAGCGUCUUGCAAGUCUAGCAUUAAACUGGCUCAAAUAAUAAAACUACACCACUGAAGUAGGAUAAUGGCAAACGUGGACUUGCCUUAAAGUUCAUUAUUUGGGUCCGUUGUUUAUAUGGUCACCAUUUAAUCAGUGUUUACAAGUUGCUUGAAACUUCCUGUUUGUUGUCUGUGAUGCAUUCAUUGACAAAUGGAAAUUUCUUCCUCACUUGUGCACCAAUCCAAAGAAAACACAGGCAAAAAUUUAGAUUUACAAGUCAGGAGGUGACACAUUAGACAUGCUACUGGUAGAGAAUCAUUUAAUUCACAUAUUAAGGAAAAAAAAUAAUUUUCAACAAGAAUCUUUCAGUUACCAGAAAUGUGAAAUACAAAAGCAAAAGAGUUUCAGGAUCCCGUUUCUGUAUUAGAGUGAAUGUAGCAUGAACUGAGGUCAGGGGAUUAGAGAUUGACAUUAGUCUGCAUAAAUCAAUGUAGUUCUCCAUUAUGUAGUUUUGCAAUGGAACUUAUGUUUUUGAGCGGAAGGAUGGGAGUAUAUUGCAAAGGACUAUUAAAAAGUAUAACUAAAGGAGGAAGAUAGAAAAAAAACUAAUUCCAUGGUUUCAAAAUUACCUCUGACCCAGGGCACAAUGCUGCAGAGCCCCUUGUGGUUUGGAUUAUUUAAUGAAGGACAAAGAAAAAUCAAGGACUAUGUUAUAGACCACCACACUUCUCUUAAAAAGGUCUCUGUGCCAGGAUUUUGGUGUGAAGACAGUUUGGAGCAAUUGGAGCACAUUCCCCUACAAGUUUGAGAUGUUUCCCUACUCCAGCAAACUUGAUUUCAAUUAAUGGCUGAUUAACAGGCUUCACCUGAAUCAGAUAUGGUAAAGCAAGGAAACCUCUUAGACAUACAGGGCAGUGGGCCUUGAGGACCAGGGCUGAAAAUUACUGAUAUAGAGGAUACAGCUAAAACAUGGUAGAAUCUGCUCUUGACAGAUGAGAGCAAAACGGAACUUUGUGGCUUACAUACAAAAUGGUAUAUGGCAGGAAACUAAACUUGCACAUCACUGUUUACGCACCAUCCUCUUCUAAAACAUUGUGGUGGCAGCAUCAUUCUGUGGGAGUGUUUCUGCCAGGACAAAGGUCAGAGUCGAUGGUAAGGUGUAUAGAGCUAAGCAAUUCUGUAAAGACAAAAAUACUGUUAAAUGCAACAAAAAACUGUUUACUUUCCAGCAGGACAACGACCCUGAGCAUACAGCCAGAAUUGCAAUAGAACAGUAAUAAUCAAAGAAUGUGUUCAAAUAGACCAGAAAAGAUCUAGGCCUAAUGUCAAAUGAGAAACCUCAGAAAGAACAACUGCAAGAAAAACAGUGAUAAACACAGGCACUCUCCUUCCUAUCUGACUGGGUUUGAGCUAGUCAGAUAGGACUAGCCCCCACACACACACACACACACACACACACACCCACCCUGAAUGUUUGGUGAACUGUGUGUGACCAAGCAUGUAUAAAUAAAGAGGGAGGAGUGUUAAUACUUCGUAGUUUUGCACUGCAGAG